rnacentral:snoRNA from 1 species
AAAAGCCGAUGAUGUGAUGUUAUCCCUGUCUGAAAGCUCAGCUGUGAGGGAAAAAUCAGUACCCACUGAGGCUUCU